CAACUUUCAACAACGGAUCUCUUGGUUCUGGCAUCGAUGAAGAACGCAGCGAAAUGCGAUACGUAGUGUGAAUUGCAGAAUUCAGUGAAUCAUCGAAUCUUUGAACGCACAUUGCGCCCUUUGGUAUUCCAAAGGGCAUGCCUAUUCGAGCGUCAUUU
rnacentral:rRNA from 1 species